UCUAAGAGUGGCAGAAAAGUGUUAUGAGCUUAAAAUUCAUUUAUAAAUGUAAAUUUCCUUAGAA
rnacentral:tRNA from 1 species